rnacentral:rRNA from 1 species
UAGUAACUGCGAGUGAAGCGGGAAAAGCUCAAAUUUAAAAUCUGGUGGUCUUUUGGCCAUCCGAGUUGUAAUUUAGAGAAGCGUCUUCCGCGCUGGACCGUACACAAGUCUCCUGGAACGGAGCGUCAUAGAGGGUGAGAAUCCCGUCUUUGGUACGGACCCCCAGGGCUUCUGUGAUGCGCUCUCGAAGAGUCGAGUUGUUUGGGAAUGCAGCUCAAAAUGGGUGGUGAACUCCAUCUAAAGCUAAAUAUUGGCGAGAGACCGAUAGCGAACAAGUACCGUGAGGGAAAGAUGAAAAGCACUUUGGAAAGAGAGUGAAACAGUACGUGAAAUUGUUGAAAGGGAAACGCUUAAAGUCAGUCGCGUCGACCGAGACUCAGCCUCGCUCCGGCUUGGUGUAUUUCUCGGCCCGACGGGUCAGCGUCAAUUUGGUCCCUCGGAUAAUGGCAAGGGAAAGGUGGCACCUUUGCGGGUGUGUUAUAGUCUUUUGUCGCAUGCGAGGGGUGAGAUUGAGGAACUCAGCACGCGCGCCCUUCUGGGUGUGUCGGGGCCUCGGCCCACGCCACGUGCUUAGGAUGCUGGCGUAAUGGCUUUAAACGACCCGUCUUGAAACACGGACCAAGGAGUCUAACAUGCCCGCGAGUGUUCGGGUGGAAAACCCGUGCGCGUAAUGAAAGUGAAAGUUGGGACCUUCGUCGUGAAGGGCACCGACGCCCGGACCAGACCUUCUGUGACGGAUCUGCGGUGGAGCGUGCAUGUUGGGACCCGAAAGAUGGUGAACUAUGCCUGAUAGGGUGAAGCCAGAGGAAACUCUGGUGGAGGCUCGUAGCGAUUCUGACGUGCAAAUCGAUCGUCAUAUUUGGGGA